rnacentral:tRNA from 1 species
GGGCAUGUAGCUCAGUUGGUUAGAGCACGUCACUGAUAAUGACGAGGUCUCUGGUUCGAAUCCAGACAUGCCCACCA